rnacentral:rRNA from 1 species
GGGGGAACCAAUUAACCCUUUCUUAAAGGGACUAGGUCCUGGCGGUUUUAAACAAAUUCGCCCUCACGCGCUGAACUUGAGCCUGAUCUAUAGCGCAGGAGUGACAACAUAUCUAGACGACGAUUCCGCGUGGCGACUCGCUACUGAAGAGGGCGAAGCGCAAAGCUAAACUCUGGCGACCUUUGGUCGAUCCGAGAUGCGAUUUAGAGAAGCGUCUUCCGCGCUGGACCAUGCAUCCUUCUCCUGGAAUGGAGCGUCAUAGAGGGUGAGAAUCCCGUCUUUGGCAUGGACCCCCAGGGCUCUGUGAUACACUCUCCACGAGUCGAGUUGUUUGGGAAUGCAGCUCCGAAUGGGUGGUGAACUCCAUCUAAAGCUAAAUAUUGGCAAGAGACCGAUAGCGAACAAGUACCGUGAGGGAAAGAUGAAAAGCACUUUGGAAAGAGAGUGAAACAGUACGUGAAAUUGUUGAAAGGGAAACGCUUGAAGUCAGUCGCGGCGACCGAGACUCAGCCUUGCCUUGACUUGGCGUACUUCUCGGCUGACGGGUCAGCAUCAAUUUCGAUCCUUGGAUAAUGGCAAGGGAAAGGUAGCACCUUUAUAGUGUGUGUUAUAGUCCUCUGUCGGAUGCAAGGGUUGGGAUUGAGGAACUCAGCAUGCACCUUGUUCGGGUCUGGGCCUUGGCCCACCUUUACCUGCUGAGAAUGCUGGCUUAAUGGUCUUAAACACCCGUCUUGAAACACGG